rnacentral:lncRNA from 1 species
GAAGGACAACAUUUGUCCAUGAGGUUCCUAAAAACGCAACUUUUGUGCAGUAAAAUUAAAACGGACGGCGGAAGCUCUAGAAACCUCGGAUCGGCUUCAUUCAAAAACGAAAAUCAAGAGGAAAGAUUGAAGUUUAAUUACCUCACUUGCAGUUUCGAAAAUGACUUCGUGAGGUAGGAGAAAAUGACUGAAAACAGCAAGCUACGAACACUGUCCAGAAAAUACAGCUCUGCACGAACAGCUUCUGUUUUGCCACGAUCUGAGAUCCUUAAAGCACCCCAAUUGUGAUGCCUCUAAUUAUUCCACACUUAGAAAUGUUCUAGGAGUUCAGAGGAUUUGGAAUCUCGAAAUUUCGUUUAGAAAUGAGAGAGAUAAUUAAGAAACAUGAAUGCUAGUUCAUGAUGAUUCAUUCCACCAAAUAAAGCACCAUUAUGUCUAAUAAUGGCACCAAACAUUAUCAUGUGCUAGACCCACCCACUUAGCUAUUAUUUAUUGAAAGUGAUCUUAUCACUUAAAUAAAUCAUUUAAAACAAUAAAUAAAUAGCUAAAUUAAUUAAUUUCGUAAUUAAUUAAUUAACCCCAUUUUGAUCAAAUCAAAUGGUUAAAUGUGGGCUCAUUUUGUGACAUGUUCUAAUGCUUUCUCUUAAUCCAUAUUAGAUCCAAUAAAAGCCCAAAAUUCUAAAUCCAAAAUUGGUCUAGAAGUCCAUAAUCAUUUAUGAACCGGAACAUGUCCAAAAUGGUCAUUUUACGUGCUCGAUAGUGCAUAAUGUUUAAUGGAGGAUUUAUGAAAUUUAUUUUGUUCCUUAAACUAUUUAUGGAACAUCUAAAUUUCUAUCUUAAAUCAUAUUUAAGAUAUAUUUAUAUAUAUAUAUAUUCAUUCUCAAUGAAUUAUAAUAUAAAUACUGAUUUUCCUAAAAUUAGGAAAUUUAACUUCUCAUUUUCUAGUAACUCCUUUUUCAUUUCUAUUUAGUGUGUGACCUUUUAGGUUCUUAGUUAUAAGGUAGUAGAACUAUUUUAAUGAUAACUCUUUAUUCAUUAAAUGAUGCUAAACUCUUUAGUCAUCAAUUAGAACUUUUCUAAUGACCUUAAGAUGCAUUGCUAAUACGCUUUACCAAUAUUGAUCUUAAGGUUUCUACAAGUCAUGAGUGACACCUAGCAGUAUAUCACAACCAUCCAAAUAACAAGAAUUGUUGGAUCUAUAGAACCUAUUCCAUUGUAUCUCUAUGUCUUGGUCUCUUCAUCAUCCAUGUCCAGAGAAAAGCACGGCUUAUGGUUUAUUAUGUUAAGCAGUUAUGCUUUAUCUCAAAAUAAAUCUAAAUGAACUUGACAUGAAAAUAUAAUUUGAACUCCUUAAAAUAUAUUUCACCUUGGCCAAGGAUUUCUCAUGCCAAUUCAUAUUAUCUCAUAGGGACAUCCUUUUUGUAUAUUACAAAGUGAUGAAUUCCAUAUUGGCCAUACACUUGUCUUCAUACAUAGCCAACCAUGACAGCUAUUGCUAGAUCUCUUCCGUGAUUAGGAAUAAAUCAUUAUGCUUUCACAUAUCAGAGAUGUCUAUGUAUAAGACAUCUGUUAUGCCUCAGGUCUAAAGACCAUUACUAAACAUAGUGUCUAAUACAAUGUAUAAUAAGCCAUUAACACUCAAAAACCAUAUGGCUUACUAUAUUUGGUCAAGUUCAGUAAACUUGUUCUCUCAACAAGUACCUAUGUGUUUGACUUGACAUCUCAUGUCAAUGAUAUGAAACUCACCAUCCAUUUUAGUAUCACAUACCAUAAGGAGUCAUAACACAUACUAGUGUUUAUAGGAAUUUAUAAUGUCCAAUUAUAAAUCCACCACUAGGAACUAUUUUAGAAGUAUAGUACAAAGGAUGCACGUUUCAUAUUCUCAACAAACUCGAGAAUGUGUUCCUUAACUAUUUUACUUCUUGGACUAUAUUCAUUAAAUUAAUUUAUGAAUAUUGAUAACUUUGCCAUUUUAUAAAUAUCAAAAUGCUAUUCAAAUACAAUAAUACCCUAAACAAACAAACACCAUUUGAUUGGCCUUUAGGGCAUAUUAUUAACAAUCUCCCACUUGCACUAAAGCCAAUCGCUAUGGUAUCUCAUACCCAUCUUCUCAAGAUGACGAUCUAACUGCUGUUGAGUAAGUGCUUUAGUCAGAGGAUCCGCAGUGUUAUCAGCGGAGGCUACUUUCUGCAUAGUGAUAUCACUCCUUCCAAUGAUUUCUCUGAUAAUGUGAUAUCUUCUCUCAAUGUGUUUGGACUUCUGGUGAGACCUUAGUUCCUUAGCUUGUGCUAUAGCUCCAUUGUUGUCACAAUAUAAUGAGAUUGGCAACGCAAUGGUUGGAACCACUCCAAGUUGUUGAAUAAACUUCCGUAUCCAAACAGCUUCUUUUGCUGCAUCUGAUGCAGCUAUAUAUUCCGCUUCAGUGGUAGAAUCUGUAGUAGUUGCUUGUUUUCCAGCUUACUGCUCCACCAUUGAUGGUGAAUAAAAAUCCUGAUGUAGAUUUUCUGUCAUCUACAUCUGACUGGAAAUCUGAAUCUGUGAAGCCUUCAAUUUUUAGCUCACCCUCUCCAUAUGUUAAGAACAAAUCUUUAGUUCUUCUUAAGUACUUAAAGAUAUUCUUAACUGCGGUCCAAUGUUCCUCACCCGGAUUACUCUGGUAUAUGCUAGUGACACUCACUCCAUGAGCUAUAUCCGGUCUAGUACAUAGCAUAGCAUACAUAAGACUUCCAAUUGCAGAAGCAUAUGGAAUCUUAUUCAUUCGCUCUCUCUCAUCAUAAGUUUUAGGACUCAUGCUUUUAGAGAGAUGAAUUCCAUGUCUGAAGGGUAUAAAACCCCUUUUGGAAUCCCACAUAUUAAAUUUCUUUAAUAUCUUUUCUAUGUACUUAGCUUGACAUAGACCUAUUAAUCUUCUGGAUCUAUCUCUAUAAAUCCUGAUUCCCAAGAUAUACAUUGCAUCUCCUAGGUCUUUCAUGGAGAAGUUUUGAGAAAGCCAAAUUUUGACAGAAGACAUUUGUCCAAUGUCAUUUACUAUAAGCAAUAUGUCAUCUACAUAUAGCACAAGGAAAGUUAUUGCACUCCCACUCACCUUUUUGUAAACACAUGGUUCAUCCUCAUUCUUGAUGAAACCAAAUGAUUUGAUUGCAUCAUCAAAUCGGAUGUUCCAGCUCCUGGAGGCUCGUUUCAGCCCAUAAAUGGACUUUCUUAGCUUGCAUACUUUAUGAGGAUUUGUCUUAGAUUCAAAACCACAAGGUUGUAUCAUAUAGAUAUCUUCCUCAAUGUACCCAUUAAGAAAUGCAGUUUUGACAUCCAUUUGCCAAAUCUCAUAGUCAUAAUAUGCUGCUAUAGCCAAUAAGAUUCUGAUGGACUUUAGCAUGGCUACUGGUGAAAAGGUUUCCUCAUAGUCGAUACCUUGUAUUUGACGAUAACCUUUAGCUACCAACCUUGCUUUAUAGGUCUCUACCUUUCCAUCUAAGCCUAUCUUCCUCUUAAAGAUCCACUUGCAUCUGAUAGGUAUAAUACCUUCGGGUGGAUCCACUAGAGUCCAGACUUGGUUGGUUCUCAUAGAGUCCAUCUCUAAAUCCAUGGCUUCAAGCCAUUUCUUAGAGUCAAUAUCUAAUAUUGCCUCUUCGUAACUAGUAGGAUCAUCUCUAUGAUCCGUAUCACCCAAUAAAAAUAUAUCGUUCAUUUGAUGAAGAAAACCAUAUCUUUCUGGUGGGUGAAUUAUCCUACUAGAUCUACGAAGUUGCUGUGUUCCUUGUGUUUGUACUUGAACAAGCUCUUCAUUGGAUUUAUCCUCAUUAGAAUUCUCAAUAAAUUCUAAUUUUCUUCCUUGUCCACCUUCUUGAAUAAACUCUUUUUCAAGAAAUAUGGCAUUUCUACUGACCAAUACCCUUUGAUCAGAUUGGAUGUAAAAGUAAUAACCCAAAGUUUCCUUUGGGUACCCAAUGAACCUCCCACUAUCCGCUUUAGCUUCAAGUUUCUCACUCUUGAGUCUCUUGAUAAAAGCAGGACAUCCCCAAAUCCUAAGAUGAUUUAGGCUUGGUUGUUUACCAUACCACAUCUCAUAUGGUAUUUUAGGUACAGACUUGGAAGGUACUCUGUUUAGUACAUAUGUUGCAGUAAGGAGAGCAUAUCCCCAAAGAGAAAUUGGUAAGUCUGUAUAACUCACCAUUGCUCGCACCAUGUCUAAUAGUGUGCGAUUUCUCCUCUCAGAUACUCCAUUAAGCUCUGGUGUACCUGGAGGUGUUCAUUGUGAAACAAUACCAUUUUCUUUAAGGUAAGACUGGAAUUCUCCACUGAGAUAUUCACCACCUCGAUCUGAUCGUAGGGUUUUAAUAGCUUUUCCAGUCUGUUUCUCUACUUCAUUUCGGUAUUCUUUGAACUUUUCAAAGGCUUCAGAUUUAUACUUCAUUAAGUAUACUGAACUAUACCUCGAGUGAUCGUCGAUAAAAGUUAUGAAGUAGUAAUAUCCACCCCUUGCCAUUUCAUUAAAUGGUCCACAUACAUCAGUAUGUAUAAGUUCAAGUAAAUCAGUGGCCCUUGUACUUCGUCCAACGAAGGGUGCCCUGGUCAUUUUUCCUUGAAGAUAUGAUUCACAAGUUGGAUAAGGUUCUAAACCAAAUGGACCUAUUAGUCCAUCUUUACCCAAUUUUGUGACUCUAUCUUCUCCAAUAUGACCUAGCCUUAAAUGCCACUUAUAUUUGGGGCUUAUUUCUUCUCUUUCACGUUUAUGUGUUAUGGUAUUUACAUUCACAACAUGCUCAUUAUUUUCUUUCAUGUUUAGUACAUAAAGAUCAUUAUCUAAAGUACCAUGUGCAACAUAUUUAUUCUCAUGAUAAAUAUUACAAAUUUUAUUUCUGAAAUAAAAUUCAUAAUUGUCUUUACAUAAACAUGAAAUUGAAACUAUGUUCCUUACAGUAGAAGGAACAAAUAAACAAUCAUUCAAACUUAUUACAUGCCCAGAUGUCAUUUUUAAGAAAAAUGUCCCUAUAGCUGAGGCAGCAACCAUUGCUCCAUUUCCCACUCUAAGAGACACUUCUCCUUGUUUAAGUCUUCUACUUCUUUUCAGAUCCUGCUUUGACAUACAAAUAUGUGUGGUUGCAGCAGAAUCUAAAAUCCAAGAAGUAGAAUGAAUAAUUGAAAUAUUAGUUUCAAUAAUGAGCAUACCUUCAGAAGGAUUCUCUUUAGGCUUGACUUUCAAGCUGUUGAGGUAAGUUUUACAAUUCCUCUUCCAAUGCCCAUCCUUACCGCAAUGGAAACAUUUUCCUUUGUCAUUGGGCUUAUUAGCUUUCCCCUUCUUAAUCCCACCUUUAGCCUUGGGUUGAAACUUUUUCUUUUUACCUUUUUUAGUUGAGGGCCCUUCUAUAGCCAUAACAUCUUUUGGCUUCUUUAUGCAAGUUUCAGCAGUAUUAAGCAUCUUUAGCAGUUCAGCAAGACUGCACUCCAUUUUAUUCAUGUUAAAAUUCAUGAUAAAUUGAGAGAAUGAGUCUGGCAAGGAUUGUAGGAUAAGGUCGAUAGCUAAUUCCCCAUCCAUUGAGAAAUUAAGAGCUUACAGCUACUCUAUGUAGUCAAUCAUUUUGAGUACAUGCUCAUUGACCGAUCCUUCAGUCAUUCUCAUUCUGAACAGUUUCUUAGAUAUCUCAUAUCUAACUGUUCUGCUUUGUUCACCAUACAACUCUUGUAGAUGAAGUAUCAUGGAACUUGCAUUAGGCAUAUUUUCAUGUUGCCUUUGUAGUUCAUUGGACAUCGAUGCCAAUAUAUAGCUUUUAGCACUUAGGUCAUCAUCUUGCCACUUCUGAUAAGUGACACGAUCUGCCUCACUUGCUCCCUCAGAAAUUUCAUUUGGCUUAGGUGUAUCAAGAACAUAGCUAAUUUUCUCAUAAUUAAGAACAAUUCUUAAAUUUCUGAACCAAUCAACGUAAUUGGGUCCCGUCAAACGGUAGUUUUCCAGAAUUCAUGCCAACGGAUUAUUCAUUAUUAAAUAUUUCUGCAGAAAGUAUAAAUUAAAUUAUUAGCAUUUUAUUUUAUUAUAAUCUAUUUGAUUUUGGUCUUUAAACCAAAUAGUACCUCCCACUAUUUUAUCAUUUCAUUACACUCCCAUAUGCAAGAAACGGAAACUCUCAUUGGUAAAAGUUUCUAGUAGGAAUCGGAUUCUCAUUAGCAUAAGUUUGCCUCACCUAACAGUUCUUGGCUUACUUAUUAUAAUGAGUAGGUAACUCUUACCAAAUGCAUCUCAUGCAUGUACCGAUUAUCCUUCGGCCUCUAAAUCAUUAAUACCUCACCUAACAGUUCUUGGUAUAAAUGAUUUAGUUAAGUUUACCCUAAUACCCUUGCAUAUUUUCAAAACAUCUUACUAACCUCACCUAACAGUUCUUGGUAGCUUAAUGUAUGAAUUACGCAUCAUCGCAUGAUAUAUGGUUUAUUUUCAACAUUUUAAUGAAUGAGUAGCCCAUGUAUCCAUGACAACUAGCCCAAGUAUAAAAUAUUUUAAAUAUUCCAUUGGUAUUAGUAGGCCAUGAUGGAUAUUCUCAAUAUUCAUCAUUACAACUUAACAAUAAUUAUGUUUAUUUAAUUAGAGAGUAUUUGGUCAUUAUUAUGGUCUCACUUUUUAGCAUGUUAUUCCAUUUUCAAUAUUCAAAUAUGUCUAAGCACCCUAAUAUACAUCUCAUGCAUAUUAUAGACAAACCAACUAAGGAUGAUCAUUGAAUUUUCUAAUAAAACCAAUUUGAGCCAAAAUUGGUUUUAAGGUCCACCUAGGUAUCAAGCAAACAAUAAUAAUUAUGAGACAUCUCAUGCCUCAAAUUAUCAAGCAAACAAUAAUGAUUAUGAGACAUCUUAUGCCUCAAAUUAUUACAAUUAUUAAUUUCUAUUUGAAUGGCCAAAAUAUCAUUGGAAGUGCUGCAACGAUCCAUAAAGUCUUCUUGCUCCAACCUCCAAGGCAUCGCAACGUCCCUCUAUUUACAAUCAUCUUGUAGAAAUUACAUAUUUAGAAGAAUUGGGGUACAAAUUUAGGGGUAAUGGGAUACAAUCAGAUCUUAAUAGAAGGAGAGACAUGCAAGUCCCUAUUUAAAAAUAUUACAACCAUUUAAGCCUUUAGAAAUCGGCCAAAUCAACAAAUAAAUCAAUAGCUCAUUCAAUCACGCAUAUAUUCAAUCAUCACAUGACAUAAAUAUAUCAUAAAAUAUCUAGGUCUUUCCAUGAUCAUCCUUCAUGCUAUUAUAAAUGGAAAUAACAUAAAUCAUGCUUCAAAAAUUCGAAAUUGAAUGAAGAUGGCUCUGAUACCACUUGAAGGACAACAUUUGUCCAUGAGGUUCCUAAAAACGCAACUUUUGCACAGUAAAAUUAAAACGGACGGCGAAAGCUCUAGAAACCUCGGAUCGGCUUCAUUCAAAAACGAAAAUCAAGAGGAAAGAUUGAAGUUUAAUUAACUCACUUUCAGUUUCGAAAACGACUUCGUGCGGUAGGAGAAAAUGACUGAAAACAGCAAGCUACGAACACUGUCCAGAAAAUACAGCUCUGCACGAACGGCUUCUGUUUUGCCACGAUCUGAGAUCCUUAAAGCACCCCAAUUGUGAUGCCUCUAAUUAGUACACACUUAGAAAUGUUCUAGGAGUUCAGAGGAUUUGGAAUCUCGAAAUUUCGUUUAGAAAUGAGAGAGAUAAUUAAGAAACAUGAAUGCUAGUUCAUGAUGAUUCAUUCCACCAAAUAAAGCACCAUUAUGUCUAAUAAUGGCACCAAACAUUAUCAUGUGCUAGACCCACCCACUUAGCUAUUAUUUAUUGAAAGUGAUCUUAUCACUUAAAUAAAUCAUUUAAAACAAUAAAUAAAUAGCUAAAUUAAUUAAUUUCGUAAUUAAUUAAUUAACCCCAUUUUGAUCAAAUCAAAUGGUUAAAUGUGGGCUCAUUUUGUGACAUGUUCUAAUGCUUUCUCUUAAUCCAUAUUAGAUCCAAUAAAAGCCCAAAAUUCUAAACCCAAAAUUGGUCUAGAAGUCCAUAAUCAUAUAUGAACCGGAACAUGUCCAAAAUGGUCAUUUUACGUGCUCGAUAUUGCAUAAUGUUUAAUGGAGGAUUUAUGAAAUUUAUUUUGUUCCUUAAACUAUUUAUGGAACAUCUAAAUUUCUAUCUUAAAUCAUAUUUAAGAUAUAUUUAAAUAUAUAUUCAUUCUCAAUGAAUUAUAAUAUAAAUACUGAUUUUCCUAAAAUUAGGAAAUUUAACUUCUCAUUUUCUAGUAACUCCUUUUUCAUUUCUAUUUAGUGUGUGACCUUUUAGGUUCUUAGUUAUAAGGUAGUAGAAUUAUUUUAAUGAUAACUCUUUAUUCAUUAAAUGAUGCUAAACUCUUUAGUCAUCAAUUAGAACUUUUCUAAUGACCUUAAGAUGCAUUGCUAAUACGCUUUACCAAUAUUGAUCUUAAGGUUUCUACAAGUCAUGAGUGACACCUAGCAGUAUAUCACAACCAUCCAAAUAACAAGAAUUGUUGGAUCUAUAGAACCUAUUCCAUUGUAUCUCUAUGUCUUGGUCUCUUCAUCAUCCAUGUCCAGAGAAAAGCACGGCUUAUGGUUUAUUAUGUUAAGCAGUUAUGCUUUAUCUCAAAAUAAAUCUAAAUGAACUUGACAUGAAAAUAUAAUUUGAACUCCUUAAAAUAUAUUUCACCUUGGCCAAGGAUUUCUCAUGCCAAUUCAUAUUAUCUCAUAGGGACAUCCUUUUUGUAUAUUACAAAGUGAUGAAUUCCAUAUUGGCCAUACACUUGUCUUCAUACAUAGCCAACCAUGACAGCUAUUGCUAGAUCUCUUCCGUGAUUAGGAAUCAAUCAUUAUGCUUUCACAUAUCAGAGAUGUCUAUGUAUAAGACAUCUGUUAUGCCUCAGGUCUAAAGACCAUUACUAAACAUAGUGUCUAAUACAAUGUAUAAUAAGCCAUUAACACUCAAAAACCAUAUGGCUUACUAUAUUUGGUCAAGUUCAGUAAACUUGUUCUCUCAACAAGUACCUAUGUGUUUGACUUGACAUCUCAUGUCAAUAAUAUGAAACUCACCAUCCAUUUUAGUAUCACAUACCAUAAGGAGUCAUAACACAUACUAGUGUUUAUAGGAAUUUAUAAUGUCCAAUUAUAAAUCCACCACUAGGAACUAUUUUAGAAGUAUAGUACAAAGGAUGCACGUUUCAUAUUCUCGACAAACUCGAGAAUGUGUUCCUUAACUAUUUUACUUCUUGGACUAUAUUCAUUAAAUUAAUUUAUGAAUAUUGAUAACUUUGCCAUUUUAUAAAUAUCAAAAUGCUAUUCAAAUACAAUAAUACCCUAAACAAACAAACACCAUUUAAUUGGCCUUUAGGGCAUAUUACUAACAGAAAUAAUCUCAUCAACUGCAACAUAUAAAAAGCGGUAUGGGACCAAAAUUUCAAUCACUAAAUUUGGUCAAUUUACUUAAUAUUAAUUACAUAAAAUAAAGAAUUCAGCAACGGAAACGAAAGAUCCCAAGGCUAAUUUUCUCUGUUAGCAGCAAACACUUUAACCACAUAGAAGUUAAUAAAGAAACAAAACAUCAAUAAUUACUAACUACCUUUACUCUUUUAGCACUCUAUAAGCAAUCAAAUAUAAGGCAAGUAGUAAAGGUCAAAAAACUAAUUAACGAAUACUCUUGAAAUCCUAAACCUAAAACUUAACUUCCUCAUGCCGUAGUCAGCCUAAUCAUAUACAUAUGCAACAGAACACAACGCCAAAAAUCAAUCAAACAUUUAUGAUUCAUUAUUUACCAAACUAUUUAUUUGAAGAAACCAAGUGCGGAAGAAACAAUUAUUUACCACCAUAAGCAAUGGGUUACAACUACCUCCAAAAUAGAAGUUUUCUUUAGUGGAGCCUUCCAAGCACAACUCUUCAGUGGCAUAGCGCUUGGGCAAAGAGAAGAAAUCCAUGGCUGGGUAAAAGAAAGAGGCAAUACUUUAAUUAGGAAAAAUUGGAGAUGGAAACUUUACUUCCAGUAGUUUUUGGAAAAAAAAGGGGGGGGGUCAAAAAUAAAAGUCUCCCGAUAAGUCGUAUUGGCUCUUAUAUUGUCAUUAUAUAUAUAUAUAUUGUUUAAUAUUAACCGACAUGCUACCUUUAGUAAUUUUUUAAUUUAUAGAAAUCUCCCCAUCAUGUUUAUAUAGCCAAUUAAGUGUUGUGUUCGAUCAAUAUUCAAUAAUACACUUUCAACUUAAUAAUUCAUUUUUUUUAAGUAUUAGUUUAAAUACUUUUCAGUAACAAUUUGGUGAAGAUCUUUUGGAUCCAUUAAUAAAUUAUACUUACUACUAAAAUUGAAUUAAUCCAAUUUACCAAGUUGCUGAUAAUAGCUUAGUCAAUAUUUAUAUCAUGCCACUUACCCAAUAAGUAAUUAAUGUUAUUUAGUAGUCUAAUAAAACUGAUGUAAUUAGUAAUGGAGCAAUUUUCAUUAUCCAUUCAUUUAAUUUUCUCUUGGUAGUAGUUAAUGAUACUAUAAUGAAAGAGUAGGACUUUUGGCACCCCUAUAAACACCUCUUAAAACCCCUUUAAUUAUUUUACAAUUUUAACUUAUAUUAAAAUUAUAUAAUAAGACAAUUUCUAAUUAAACCUCCACUCAAAAGUUAAAUAAUUUUUUCAUUUCAGAAAUUAAAAAGGUUGCUUUUUCUUUUAGUUUUCGGGUGAAAAAUUUACCACUGAUGGCUACAAUGGAUAGAAUGAAAACCAAUUAUAUUUUUUCCUUUAAAUGGAAGAGACCUUGUUGCUGAAAUGAGAUUAACACAAUAAGUUUUACUUAAGGGCAUUUUUGUCAUUGAUGGUGGUGUAAAAAUAAUUUUUUAAUUUUUUAAAAUAUUUUAAUGGGAUUAAUUAAGAAAAGGAGCGUUAAGAGAUAUUUAAAGGGGUGUCAAUAGUCCCACUCAUAAUGAAAAGAAUUUGUUGUUACGAUGUGAAUGAAGGGGGUAAUUGUUAUAUUCAUUCAACUUCAUGCCUAUUGAAUCCAAUAGAGAUUAUAAUAAUCAUUCAUUUUAAGAGGAAAAAUUUGAAUAAUGUUAGGGGGCACAAUAUUUGUAUCUCACUUAACAUAGCAUCCGUAUAUAGUCUAAAUAUAAUUGGGAUCGAAAUUAAUUUUAGGAUCUCUAGCAUUAUUUAAUUUAUAUGUAUGUUUAUAUUGGAAUUAUUAUCACCAUUAUUGCUAUGACCGUUAUUCAUACUUCAAUUCAUUAUUAUGAUCAAUAUUAAUAUUAAUUUUAAUUUUUAUAUGUUAUUAUCAUCGAUUUCUUUUUUUAAAAAGUAAAUCAUCAUUUUUCUUGGAUUUAACUGUCAUCAUUUUAAAUCUUAUAUAAAA